rnacentral:lncRNA from 1 species
GCCUGCCUCAGCCUCCCAAAGUGCUGGGAUUACAGGUGUGAGCCACCGCGCCCGGCCUCUCGAGCUCAUUUUUAAGCCUCCUGGUAUUUUUAAGGAAAUGUAAGAGUGUGAAUCAGGUACUGAUGGUUUUGACUUCAUUAUGAUCAGCAUCUUUGGCUUCCAUCAGAGUAGACACUGAACGUUUUCAUCCAACCGGAUGAUGAGUGCAUUAAUACUCUUCACUCUCAACUCAGGGAAAAGGACCCUGACAGGACACCCUCCUGUUGGAGCUAACAGAUGUGCACCUUUGAGAAUGAUCAUUGAGAAGGGAAGCCAUGUGACUUCAUCCUCCGUGGCUCUGGUGGUCUCUUCGACAUCUGUGAGAUACUCACUAAAAGCUGGUUGCGCUUUGAGAUCUGGGCGCCUGCUGGAACCUGGAGCCACAAGUCUUCAUUCAUGCUAAAGAACUCCUGUCUUGGUGGAGGUAUUUGCCUUUGUUUGAGUUUCUUGGUACUGCUCUCCAUCUUUUUG